UAGUAAUCACAGGUCAGCAUACUGUGGUGAAUACGUUCCCGGGCCUUGUACACACCGCCCGUCACACCAUGAGAGUUGAGAAUACCCGAAGCCCAUGUCAAAGUGGUCGAAGGUAGGCUUGAUGAUUGGGGUGAAGUCGUAACAAGGUACC
rnacentral:rRNA from 1 species